AGCGAACGCUGGCGGCAGGCCUAACACAUGCAAGUCGAACGAAGUCUUCGGACUUAGUGGCGGACGGGUGAGUAACACGUGGGAACGUACCUUUUGGUUCGGAACAACUCAGGGAAACUUGAGCUAAUACCGGAUGAGCCCUUAGGGGGAAAGAUUUAUCGCCGAAAGAGCGGCCCGCGUUAGAUCAGCUAGUUGGUGAGGUAAAGGCUCACCAAGGCUACGAUCUAUAGCUGGUCUGAGAGGAUGAUCAGCCACACUGGGACUGAGACACGGCCCAGACUCCUACGGGAGGCAGCAGUGGGGAAUCUUGCGCAAUGGGCGAAAGCCUGACGCAGCCAUGCCGCGUGAAUGAUGAAGGUCUUAGGAUUGUAAAAUUCUUUUACCAGGGACGAUAAUGACGGUACCUGGAGAAAAAGCCCCGGCUAACUUCGUGCCAGCAGCCGCCGUAAUAC
rnacentral:rRNA from 1 species